AACCUGGUUGAUCCUGCCAGUAGUCAUAUGCUUGUCUCAAAGAUUAAGCCAUGCAUGUCUAAGUAUAAGCACCUUAUACUGUGAAACUGCGAAUGGCUCAUUAAAUCAGUUAUCGUUUAUUUGAUGAUCUCUUGCUACUUGGAUACCCGUGGUAAUUCUAGAGCUAAUACAUGCGACAACACCCGACUUCUGGAAGGGUGGUAUUUAUUAGAUAAAAAACCUUCUCGCUUCGGCGAUGUCCCGGUGAUUCAUAAUAACUUUUCGAAGUGCAUGGCCUUGCGCCGGCGCUGGUUCAUUCCAAUUUCUGCCCUA
rnacentral:rRNA from 1 species